CAGCACAUGUACGUCUGGCCGACGUCGGCCCAAUAUCGAAACGUCGGCCUCUAUACCUAAAACAUCUAUUAAACAUCGGCCUGGCGGAGGCCGAUAUAAUUUGGUCAGUGCUCUGUUCUCCAGCUCACCAAUCGUCGGCCCUGAGUUGGUUCACGACCGCGGGCCGAUGCCGCGCUUAUCUGUGUGCGCGUGCCCAGUAUUCGUCUCUUUUAGCCACCCAGAGAGAGAAGAGGAUAAUCCCAGCGACAUCUGUGGCUCUCAGGCUUCCGGAAAUAAUCCGGUGAAAUAUGGUGAGCUAUUGUUGCUGUUGCUUCUGAACUACAAAAUGAUUUUUAAAUUAAUUAUUGAAUGAUUAUUGAAUGAGACUGUACUUUAUAAAUGUAAUGUUUUAACUCUAGAUGUUUGUUUGUGUGAAUGCUGUGUGUGCGUUGAGUCCUGCGCGAGCGGGGAGCAGAGUUGCCAUGGAAACGGGGCGUCAACACAAAAACCGUUACUGGCAAGCAGUAAUCUCCGUCUCUCGCUGCGGUUUACACUGUUUUAGGAGGACAGAAAAAAGCUCUACAGAACAGAAGUGAAGCUCCAAGAUUUCAACAUUUCUGAAGGGAGAUACUGACUUAGAAAUACAGAUUGCUUGUUUUGUUCCUGGACUCUUCAGUGAUGAUGAGCAGAGUCUGAGUGAACCUGCUGUCAGACAGGUUGGCCUGACUGACGAUGCCAUCUUCCAAUCGCCGAUGGCUGAUAGACAUCACGAUGCUGCGCCGGAAACAGCGCCAUCAGCUCCAGUAUCUCGCCCGUGCAUCCGUUGUCAUGCGACAGAAGUCACGUUCUAUAGACAGUUUCUAUAGACAGUUUCUAUAGACAGUUGUGAGGGUGCUGACAGCUGGUUGCCCAGGCUAUGGAUUAAAGGUAAUACUGUUGGCCAGCAGAGCCCUGCUCACCCUGACGGCCCACCGCUGCUGUCAGACAACAUCUCCAAGAUGCUAUAAACUGCAGGACUAGAUCGCCAUCCCAAGGUUUCUAGAGUUACACCAGCUCCAGACUGAAUCCAGACUCACUUGUGAAGACUUCAGAUGACACCAACGCUCACAAAGACUACAACUGUACAUGAACACACAAAACAUUUGACACACAAAACAAAUAUUAUCCUUAUUUUGCCUAUAAGGGUAAAUUUGAUGAUUUUCAACCUGCUUUAUUGUAACGUCUCUUAUAUCUGUAAAUGAACAAUAUUUACUCUCUCUGAGUUAUGUGGACCUACAUGUCCCCUUUUAUUUGUAAGCAUCACUCUGCAGGAUGAUCCAAAAUGAAAUGACGAGUUUUGACGAAAUGACACAAUGCAGCAUCUAAAUGAAAACAUGCUGUUUUGCAUCAGUUUUGCUGGCAAAUAAACGGUAUCUUGGAGAAAGAAUAAACAUUGUUCUUUUACAAAUGUUACCAACAAUAUAACAAUACAAAAUGGAUUGAUUUUUUUUUUUACUUACCCUUUAAAAAUGUUGAAAGAUAAUGUUAAUGUUAACUGAAUACAAAACUAGAGACUUGUUUAGUAAGAUUUUAUCAGAAAAUAUUUUUGAAUUUUUAUCAUGCAAUUUAAAACAUUUUAAUUGCUUAAUUAUUGUUUGCCUGGUUUUAUUUUGUGUUUAUGUAACUCUUUUUAAAAAGUUCUUGGCAUAAAGUUCGCAUGCGAUGCUGACAGCUCUGAACACAUGACUUUUUAUUAUGAACUAGAUGGUCUUCCCAGUGAGUCUCAGUCAUCUCUGGCUUUUUAAACUGUAACCUUGAAACAUGCAUUUCUGUAAACCUACUUUGAAAUAAGUAUUGUGAAAAAAGUGCUAUACUCAUACAACAUUUAACCAGCAAGUACUGUAGGAAUUGUUAUGUUUUUACUAUGGUUUUAAUGCAAAAGCUGUAGUAAAAUCAUGGUGAUUGUAGUAAAACUAUGGUUGAUUUUGUUUUUUCUAUGGUUUUACUGCAAAAGCUGUGGUAAAAUCAUGCUUAAUUUUCAAAAGACUACAAAUAAUCCCGAAUUAUCCACUUUUGAUCAAAGCAUCUGGUAAAUGUUAAUGUAUUUGUACAUGUAAUAUGAAAUAAAUGAAAAUAUUAAUAAAGUUGCAUCUGUUCUUGAGA